rnacentral:rRNA from 1 species
UCAUACUGCGACUGACACUGAAGCACGAAGGCGUGGGUAUCAAACAGGAUUAGAUACCCUGGUAGUCCACGCAGUAAACGAUGAUUACUAGGAGUUUGCGAUAUACCGUCAAGCUUCCACAGCGAAAGCGUUAAGUAAUCCACCUGGGGAGUACGCCGGCAACGGUGAAACUCAAAGGAAUUGACGGGGGCCCGCACAAGCGGAGGAACAUGUGGUUUAAUUCGAUGAUACGCGAGGAACCUUACCCGGGAUUGAAAUGUAGACGACGGAUGGUGAAAGCCGUCUUCCCUUCGGGGCGUCUAUGUAGGUGCUGCAUGGUUGUCGUCAGCUCGUGCCGUGAGGUGUCG